UCUUUUUGAAAGUCGGUUUCGGCUGACACUUACAGAUGAGCCCGCGGCGCAUUAGCUAGUUGGUGAGGUAACGGCUCACCAAGGCGACGAUGCGUAGCCGACCUGAGAGGGUGAUCGGCCACACUGGGACUGAGACACGGCCCAGACUCCUACGGGAGGCAGCAGUAGGGAAUCUUCGGCAAUGGGCGAAAGCCUGACCGAGCAACGCCGCGUGAGCGAUGAAGGCCUUCGGGUCGUAAAGCUCUGUUGUUAGAGAAGAACAAGUACGAGAGUAACUGCUCGUACCUUGACGGUACCUAACCAGAAAGCCACGGCUAACUACGUGCCAGCAGCCGCGGUAAUACGUAGGUGGCAAGCGUUAUCCGGAAUUAUUGGGCGUAAAGCGCGCGCAGGCGGUCUCUUAAGUCUGAUGUGAAAGCCCACGGCUCAACCGUGGAGGGUCAUUGGAAACUGGGAGACUUGAGUGCAGGAGAGAAAAGUGGAAUUCCACGUGUAGCGGUGAAAUGCG
rnacentral:rRNA from 1 species